rnacentral:rRNA from 1 species
CCUACGGGAGGCAGCAGUCGAGAAUCAUUCACAAUGGGGGAAACCCUGAUGGUGCGACGCCGCGUGGGGGAAUGAAGGUCUUCGGAUUGUAAACCCCUGUCAUGUGGGAGCAAAUUAAAAAGAUAGUACCACAAGAGGAAGAGACGGCUAAAUCUGUGCCAGCAGCCGCGGUAAUACAGAGGUCUCAAGCGUUGUUCGGAAGCACUGGGCGGAAAGCGUGCGUAGGCUGUUUCGUAAGUCGUGUGUGAAAGGCGCGGGCUCAACCCGCGGACUGCACAUGAUACUGCGAGACUAGAGUAAUGGAGGGGGAACCGGAAUGCUCGGUGUAGCAGUGAAAUGCGUAGAUAUCGAGAGGAACACUCGUGGCGAAGGCGGGUUCCUGGACAUUAACUGACGCUGAGGCACGAAGGCCAGGGGAGCGAAAGGGAUUAGAUACCCCUGUAGUC